UACAGAGGGUGCGAGCGUUAAUCGGAAUUACUGGGCGUAAAGCGCGCGUAGGCGGCUUUGCAAGUCGGGUGUGAAAUCCCCAGGCUUAACCUGGGAACUGCAUUCGAGACUGCAUUGCUAGAGUAUGGGAGAGGGAAGUGGAAUUUCCGGUGUAGCGGUGAAAUGCGUAGAUAUCGGAAGGAACAUCAGUGGCGAAAGCGGCGCGCUGGACCACUACUGACGCUGAGGAACGAAAGCUAGGGGAGCAAACAGG
rnacentral:rRNA from 1 species